rnacentral:rRNA from 1 species
ACGAUAACGGCGUCGAGCGGCGGACGGGUGAGUAAUGCCUAGGAAAUUGCCCUGAUGUGGGGGAUAACCAUUGGAAACGAUGGCUAAUACCGCAUGAUGCCUACGGGCCAAAGAGGGGGACCUUCGGGCCUCUCGCGUCAGGAUAUGCCUAGGUGGGAUUAGCUAGUUGGUGAGGUAAGGGCUCACCAAGGCGACGAUCCCUAGCUGGUCUGAGAGGAUGAUCAGCCACACUGGAACUGAGACACGGUCCAGACUCCUACGGGAGGCAGCAGUGGGGAAUAUUGCACAAUGGGCGCAAGCCUGAUGCAGCCAUGCCGCGUGUGUGAAGAAGGCCUUCGGGUUGUAAAGCACUUUCAGUCGUGAGGAAGGUAGUGUAGUUAAUAGCUGCAUUAUUUGACGUUAGCGACAGAAGAAGCACCGGCUAACUCCGUGCCAGCAGCCGCGGUAAUACGGAGGGUGCGAGCGUUAAUCGGAAUUACUGGGCGUAAAGCGCAUGCAGGUGGUUUGUUAAGUCAGAUGUGAAAGCCCGGGGCUCAACCUCGGAAUAGCAUUUGAAACUGGCAGACUAGAGUACUGUAGAGGGGGGUAGAAUUUCAGGUGUAGCGGUGAAAUGCGUAGAGAUCUGAAGGAAUACCGGUGGCGAAGGCGGCCCCCUGGACAGAUACUGACACUCAGAUGCGAAAGCGUGGGGAGCAAACAGGAUUAGAUACCCUGGUAGUCCACGCCGUAAACGAUGUCUACUUGGAGGUUGUGGCCUUGAGCCGUGGCUUUCGGAGCUAACGCGUUAAGUAGACCGCCUGGGGAGUACGGUCGCAAGAUUAAAACUCAAAUGAAUUGACGGGGGCCCGCACAAGCGGUGGAGCAUGUGGUUUAAUUCGAUGCAACGCGAAGAACCUUACCUACUCUUGACAUCCAGAGAACUUUCCAGAGAUGGAUUGGUGCCUUCGGGAACUCUGAGACAGGUGCUGCAUGGCUGUCGUCAGCUCGUGUUGUGAAAUGUUGGGUUAAGUCCCGCAACGAGCGCAACCCUUAUCCUUGUUUGCCAGCGAGUAAUGUCGGGAACUCCAGGGAGACUGCCGGUGAUAAACCGGAGGAAGGUGGGGACGACGUCAAGUCAUCAUGGCCCUUACGAGUAGGGCUACACACGUGCUACAAUGGCGCAUACAGAGGGCGGCCAACUUGCGAAAGUGAGCGAAUCCCAAAAAGUGCGUCGUAGUCCGGAUUGGAGUCUGCAACUCGACUCCAUGAAGUCGGAAUCGCUAGUAAUCGUGAUCAGAAUGCCCCGGUGAAUAAUUUCCCGGGCCUGGUACACCCCACCCAA